rnacentral:rRNA from 1 species
UACAGAGGGUGCGAGCGUUAAUCGGAAUUACUGGGCGUAAAGGGUGCGUAGGUGGUUGCAUAAGUUAGGUGUGAAAGUCCCGGGCUUAACCUGGGGAUUGCGCCUGAUACUGUGUAGCUAGAGUACUGUAGAGGAAGGUGGAAUUUCCAGUGUAGCGGUGAAAUGCGUAGAUAUUGGAAGGAACAUCGGUGGCGAAGGCGACCUUCUGGACAGAUACUGACACUGAGGCACGAAAGCAUGGGGAGCAAACAGG